CCUACGGGAGACAGCAGUGGGGAAUAUUGCACAAUGGGGGAAACCCUGAUGCAGCGACGCCGCGUGAGUGAGGAAGUAUUUCGGUAUGUAAAGCUCUAUCAGCAGGGAAGAAAAUGACGGUACCUGACUAAGAAGCCCCGGCUAACUACGUGCCAGCAGCCGCGGUAAUACGUAGGGGGCAAGCGUUAUCCGGAUUGAUUGGGUUUAAAGGGUGCGCAGGCGGCCUGUUAAGUCAGCGGUAAAAGCCCGGGGCUCAACCCCGGCGAGCCGUUGAAACUGGCGGGCUGGAGUUGGAGAGAAGGACGCAGAAUGCGCGGUGUAGCGGUGAAAUGCUUAGAUAUCGCGCAGAACCCCGAUUGCGAAGGCAGCGUACCGGCUCCACACUGACGCUGAGACACGAAAGCGUGGGUAGCGAACAGGAUUAGAUACCCCAGUAGUC
rnacentral:rRNA from 1 species